AUUGAACGCUGGCGGCAGGCCUAACACAUGCAAGUCGAGCGGAUGAGAGGAGCUUGCUCCUCGAUUCAGCGGCGGACGGGUGAGUAAUGCCUAGGAAUCUGCCUAGUAGUGGGGGACAACGUUUCGAAAGGAACGCUAAUACCGCAUACGUCCUACGGGAGAAAGUGGGGGAUCUUCGGACCUCACGCUAUUAGAUGAGCCUAGGUCGGAUUAGCUAGUUGGUAGGGUAACGGCCUACUAAGGCGACGAUACGUAACUGGUCUGAGAGGAUGAUCAGUCACACUGGAACUGAGACACGGUCCAGACUCCUACGGGAGGCAGCAGUGGGGAAUAUUGGGCAAUGGGCGAAAGCCUGAUCCAGCCAUGCCGCGUGUGUGAAGAAGGCCCUCGGGUCGUAAAGCACUUUAAGUUGGGAGGAAGGGCUUACAGCGAAUACCUGUGAGUUUUGACGUUACCGACAGAAUAAGCACCGGCUAACUUCGUGCCAGCAGCCGCAGUAA
rnacentral:rRNA from 1 species